rnacentral:misc_RNA from 1 species
GGUAGUAAAAGUCGUAACAAGGUUUCCGUAGGUGAACCUGCGGAAGGAUCAUUAUUGUAUAACCGAGGUGCGAGGGCUGUCGCUGACCCGAAAGGUCGUGCACGCCCGAGUGCCCUCACACACAUCCAUCUCACCCCUAUGUGCACCACCGCGUGGGUCCCCCUUUGGCUUGUUCGGAGGGGGGCUUACGUUUUCACACAAACUUUGUAUGCAGUGUAGAAUGUAUUUUUUGUUUUUGCGAUCACGCAAUCAAUACAACUUUCAACAACGGACCUCUUGGCUCUC